rnacentral:rRNA from 1 species
UACGUAGGGCGCAAGCGUUGUCCGGAAUUAUUGGGCGUAAAGCGGGUGUAGGUGGUCUUAUAAGUCAGGUGUGAAAUCCCAGGGCUCAACCCUGGAAGUGCACUUGAUACUGUAAGACUUGAGUGUGGUAGAGGCUAUUAGAAUUCUUGGUGUAGUGGUGAAAUACGUAGAUAUCAAGAGGAAACACCGAUGGCGAAGGCAGCUCGCUGGGACGGUACUGAGCUGAGGCGCGAAAGCGUGGGGAGCAAACAGG